rnacentral:lncRNA from 1 species
GGCGGGUGCAGCAUCGGAGCGCGCCCUGUUGAUCUCUACCUCCGUGGCCUCUCCGCUCUCGGCGCUGUCGUGGAACUGAGUUAAGUCAAUUCUUGGCUUUGCCUUCGUGAUUACCUAUAGCUGCUGUGUUUCAUAGCACUUCGAGGGAGGAUUGCCACAAUUCACAUCAACAAGAAAAUAAAUGAAAUCAAGAACGAAAUCCCAAACCAUUUCUAAGCCAUUAAGCAUCUGACAUGCGUUUUUGCACUUGAACAGGCAUGGGAAAGUGCAUGUGAAGGCAGCAAAUGGCAGAGGACUCACCGGAGGACGGUUCCAUCUCGAUUACCCGAGUGUUGGCGCAAGUGAAACCCUCAUGAUGGCGGCUUCAAUGGCAGAGGGAGUGUCCGUGCUCACCAACGUAGCUCAGGUUCCAACUCUCAAAACACAUCAAGUUUUCGUUGUAUCUCCCGACUAAAAUAGGCUACUACUCGUUCCUUCUCCAGGAACCCGAAGUGGCAGACCUCGCUCGGUUCCUCGUCGCCUGCGGGGCGCAGAUCAAAGGGGUUGGCACUCGCACGCUUGUCAUCGACGGUAGAAGGUCGUUGCAUGGAGCUCAGUUCACCGUGAUACCGGACAGAAUAGAAACCGGCACUUUCAUGGUUGCAGCAGCAAUUACCCGAUCUUGUGUUUCGUUGUCCCCUGU